AAACCAACAGGGAUUACCUCAGUAACGGCGAGUGAAGCGGUAACAGCUCAAAUUUGAAAGCUAGCUCUUUUAGGGUUCGCAUUGUAAUUUGUAGAAGAUGCUUCGGGUGUGGCCCCGGUCUAAGUUCCUUGGAACAGGACGUCAUAGAGGGUGAGAAUCCCGUAUGUGACUGGGUGCUUUCGCUCAUGUGAAGCUCUUUCGACGAGUCGAGUUGUUUGGGAAUGCAGCUCAAAAUGGGUGGUAAAUUUCAUCUAAAGCUAAAUAUUGGCCAGAGACCGAUAGCGCACAAGUAGAGUGAUCGAAAGAUGAAAAGCACUUUGGAAAGAGAGUUAAACAGUACGUGAAAUUGUUGAAAGGGAAGCGCUUGCAACCAGACUUGCGCGCUGAUGAUCAUCCGGGCUUCUGCCCGGUGCACUCGUCUGCGCUCAGGCCAGCAUCGGUUUCGGUGGUGGGAUAAAGGCCCUGGGAAUGUAGCUCCUCUAGGGGAGUGUUAUAGCCCUCGGUGCAAUGCCGCCUACCGGGACCGAGGACCGCGCUUCGGCUAGGAUGCUGGCGUAAUGGUUGUAAGCGAC
rnacentral:rRNA from 1 species